AGGGAGGGGAGGGAAGACGGAUGGAGGAGUCAAGGCUGUCGCCGGCAACGUGCACGCCCCUUUCUCUUUCGUGGAACCUCCCCUUUCUAGUUUCCUUAUCCACCUGUGCACCCUUUGUAGGCCCUCGAAAGAGGAUCUACGUUUUCUCUAUAUACGCUUUUUGCUACGCAUGUCCAGAAUGUAUACAAACUUUACAACUUUCAGCAACGGAUCUCUUGGCUCUCGCAUCGAUGAAGAACGCAGCGAAUUGCGAUAAGUAAUGUGAAUUGCAGAUUUUCAGUGAAUCAUCGAAUCUUUGAACGCACCUUGCGCUCCUUGGUAUUCCGAGGAGCAUGCCUGUUUGAGUGUCAUCGAAUUCUCAACCAUGUCUUGAAUUAGGCAUGGCUUGGACUUGGGNGUNGCUGGCACACGUUGUCAAGCUCUCCUGAAAUGCAUUAGCGAUGUUCAGCAAGCCUGAACGUGCACGGCCUUUUCGACGUGAUAACGAUCGUCGUGGGCUGGAGCGUAGGGUGAGCAGUGAAUCGCUUCUAAUCUAUACCUCAGUUACUAGUCGGUCGUGAGACUGACGAACGCGCGAGGCNUGAUCUUGGACCCCAAGCCUUAG
rnacentral:rRNA from 1 species